GGCCCUGUGGCCUAAUGGAUAAGGCAUCUGACUUCUAAUCUAACCAGAGCAGGUUCGACCCCUGCCCGGGUCA
rfam:Toxocara canis scaffold1494, whole genome shotgun sequence.